rnacentral:rRNA from 1 species
UACGGGGGGGGCAAGCGUUGUUCGGAAUUACUGGGCGGAAAGGGCGCGUAGGCGGCCUGCUAAGUCACACGUGAAAUCCCUCGGCUCAACCGGGGAACUGCGUGUGAUACUGGCGGGCUUGAAUUCGGGAGAGGGAUGUGGAAUUCCAGGUGUAGCGGUGAAAUGCGUAGAUAUCUGGAGGAACACCGGUGGCGAAGGCGGCAUCCUGGACCGAGAUUGACGCUGAGGCGCGAAAGCCAGGGGAGCAAACGGG